rnacentral:rRNA from 1 species
UACCGAGGUCCCAAGCGUUGUUCGGAUUCACUGGGCGUAAAGGGUGCGUAGGCGGUCGGGUAAGUCUGACGUGAAAUCUCCAAGCUCAACUUGGAAAUGGCGUCGGAUACUAUUCGGCUCGAGGAAUGGAGGGGAGACUGGAAUUCUCGGUGUAGCAGUGAAAUGCGUAGAUAUCGAGAGGAACACCAGUGGCGAAGGCGGCUCACUGGACCGGUACUGACGCUGAUGCGCGAAAGCGUGGGGAGCAAACAGG